GGAGCGGUGUCCGAGUGGUUGAAGGAGGCGGUCUUGAAAACCGUUGAACCGCAAGGUUCCGGGGGUUCGAAUCCCCCCUGCUCCG
rnacentral:tRNA from 1 species